CAGCCCCCCCCUCGCUGUCCCCCACUCCCGCAAGCGUAAGAUCGCCUGCGCCGUGUGCAGCUGCACUCUCCCACAAGAGCCAGCUGCAGGAGCACAUGUACGCCCACACCGGCAGGCCGGCCCGCUACCACCGCUACAACCGCCUCUGCAGCCAGCUCUUCCAGGCCUCAGCCCACUUCUGCGAGGGCAGAACUGAGCCAGGGGGCGGGGCCUCAUCCGGCGGCAGCGCCCCGCUCCCUGAGGAGGUCAACAGGGAUAAUCAGGACAACGGCAGCUCCUGCUACUCGCUGGACUCCGAGGUCUCCCAGGAGAGCGUGGACGGGGUGCCAGUGGAGUGAUGUCAUCGCCCGGACCGCUGGUGUCUGCGUGCACCGGGAUCAAUGACGUGAUCAGUCGAUUGACAGGGACUCAAUCAACAAAUAUUUAUACAGCCCAUGGAUCGUUUUCAAUCAUUUUAUAAGAAAGCAAAUCGGGGACUUCUAAAUAUUAGUGUUUUCCUACGAUUCACUACAUUCACUUCUUUGUUAUCGAACAGACGAUCAAUAACGACUCCUGGUCCCGCCUCAUGGGUUUGUAGAAUCUUGAUUUUCCACAUUCACCAACGGACAGUGAAUGCCUCAUGUUGAGUUCAAACGCUCCGCUAAUGUACUACACGUGAUUAGUUGGGUGUGAAAACGUUUUAAUGUGAAAAGACGCAGCAGUGCCUUCUUGAAGUUGUUUGUGUUGUUUCCAUGACAAGAGUAGAGACUAAGAUUAAAAACAUCAAUAUUAUUGAUCAGUGCUUCAUUAUUGUUAUCAGAACGUUAAAACAAUAAAACAGGCGCUGAUUUAUUUAUUUUGAAAGGGUGUUGAACUUCCUUUAAUGUCACACAACCAAUCAUUGAUGAGGAGUUGAGAUGUCAUUGAUUAUUGAUGAAUGAAUGCAAGGUUAUUUAUUAUUGAUUGUGAAUGUUCAUUGUGGUCUCACUGUUAAAUAAAUCAGUGUUUUGUUUUAUACAAAAACGUUUUUUAUUUUCAUUAAUAGAUGAAGUCUUUUUUCCACCAAUCAGAAGCAGAAGGGAGCUUAUGUUACCUGAGAGUGCAGAGUGAGUGGAAGAAUUUAUUAUUAUAUUUUAUAAUUAUUUUUAUUGACCAUGUUUUUAGCACUGUCACCUUGUCACUUUUAAGUUCUUCUUGUAAAGAAUCUCAUAGGAAGUCCUUACUGGAAUACUAAAACAGCUCUAGUUUCUCUCCCUGAGGACAUCUGAAGCCUUUGAGGGUUCUUUCAUCUACGUCACAAUCAAAAGCUCUGCGUUCUGACUAGAACGCUGCAAAAUAAACUUCGGUCCAAGAGGAA
ensembl:lncRNA